AUUGAACGCUGGCGGCAUGCCUUACACAUGCAAGUCGAGCGGUAACAGGUCUUCGGAUGCUGACGAGUGGCGAACGGGUGAGUAAUACAUCGGAACGUGCCCGAUCGUGGGGGAUAACGAGGCGAAAGCUUUGCUAAUACCGCAUACGAUCUACGGAUGAAAGCGGGGGAUCUUCGGACCUCGCGCGGACGGAGCGGCCGAUGGCAGAUUAGGUAGUUGGUGGGAUAAAAGCUUACCAAGCCGACGAUCUGUAGCUGGUCUGAGAGGAUGAUCAGCCACACUGGGACUGAGACACGGCCCAGACUCCUACGGGAGGCAGCAGCGGGGAAUUUUGGACGAUGGGCGAAAGCCUGAUCCAGCCAUGCCGCGUGCAGGAUGAAGGCCUUUGGGUUGUAAACUGCUUUUGUACGGAACGAAAAGCCUCUUUCUAAUAAAGAGGGGUCAUGACGGUACCGUAAGAAUAAGCACCGGCUAACUACG
rnacentral:rRNA from 1 species